CAGCAGGAGCCGCGAGAGCCUKGGGGCGGUGACUGCCCGGAGACGCACCGGAGCCAGGCGAUGGAGGCUUCAAAGGCUGGGCUGAACUUAGCUUUGCGUGGAAGCACCUACCACCCAGGCACAGCGCUGCGCGCCGAGCUUCUGGCACGGAUGCGCCCAGGCUGAGAGCAUGGCAGCAGCCUCUGUGCCUGUUGAUGGCUGAAGAAACCCGGUAAUGACCCAGACUAACCAUCACUUCCAGCUGGUCGAGUCCUGCGGAUGCCAGAUACGCUGUCUCGCCAAAGCAGGAGCUCCCCGCAGCUGUGCACGCUCCGCAGGCCCUGUCCCUGCUGCAAGCCCUCACACRUAUCCGACACGGACAGAGGAAUAGGAGGGUCAACACGGAGUUUCAGUGUGUCAGGUCUGUGUUGUAAGAACCGUGGCAUUUGCAUGCUGGCCUGCAACUCCGCUUUAUUAUGUCUCAUAAAACMCUAUUCCAUGAACAGUGUCCUGUGGAAGCAAAGACACAAAUAACAGUCAUUGCGAUAUGACCACAUGUUGUCCAAAGCCCGUAGCGGGAUGCCGUGUGGCGGCMCUCAGCCGCUGAGUGGCUGUGGCUGGACCGGUAAAGCACUGGCAUGAGAGGGCUGCAGGCCCAUCCUCAUCCUCCUGAGCACGCGAGGCAGGGCCAGGCAGCCUGGGUGCCAGCCCCCUGCCACCACCUCUGCAGGGACGUCAUGGGCCCGUGCCAGACGUCUCUGGAGWCUCCCUAAGGCAGGGUGGGGACGUGUUUCUGGGCAGGAUGCUGCACACUCARCUUAAGGACUCGGAUCAAUUCCUCCUUGAAAGCCUCUCUCCAUCUUCUUCUCCAUAACUUACGUUCCCUUAUAGAAGAAACUCGYGGAAAGCUGCGGGUUCAGCUCUCCGUGUGUUAACGGCUACCUUGCUAAGCUCCUUAYAGCAAGGGUAGGAUGCAGGUCAGCGUUGCCGCCUCUUGAGCGCAAAG
rnacentral:lncRNA from 1 species